UACGAAGGGGGCUAGCGUUGCUCGGAAUUACUGGGCGUAAAGGGCGCGUAGGCGGCACUGUUAGUCAGGCGUGAAAGUCCUGGGCUCAACCUGGGAACUGCGCUUGAUACGGCAGAGCUAGAGGAUGGAAGAGGCUCGCGGAAUUCCCAGUGUAGAGGUGAAAUUCGUAGAUAUCAGGAGGAACACCCGUGGCGAAGGCGGCUCUCUGGAUCGACCCUGACGCUGAGGC
rnacentral:rRNA from 1 species